GGGGUAGAAGUCAGGUGUGAAAUACCGCGGCUCAACUGCGGGGAUGCAUCUGAAACUCUGCUUCUUGAGUGUCGGAGAGGAAAGCGGAAUUCCCAGUGUAGCGGUGAAAUGCGUAGAGAUUGGGAGGAACACCAGUGGCGAAGGCGGCUUUCUGGACGACAACUGACGCUGAGGCGCGAAAGCGUGGGGAGCAAACAGGAUUAGAUACCCUGGUAGUCCACGCUGUAAACGAUGGAUACUAGGUGUAGGAGGUAUCGACCCCUUCUGUGCCGGAGUUAACACAAUAAGUAUCCCGCCUGGGGAGUACGGCCGCAAGGCUGAAACUCAAAGGAAUUGACGGGGGCCCGCACAAGCAGUGGAGUAUGUGGUUUAAUUCGAAGCAACGCGAAGAACCUUACCAGGGCUUGACAUCCCCCUGACGGAUGUAGAGAUACAUCUUCCCUUCGGGGCAGGGGAGACAGGUGGUGCAUGGUUGUCGUCAGCUCGUGUCGUGAGAUGUUGGGUUAAGUCCCGCAACGAGCGCAACCCUUGUUGUUAGUUGCCAGCAUUAAGUUGGGCACUCUAACGAGACUGCCGGUGACAAAUCGGAGGAAGGUGGGGACGACGUCAAAUCAUCAUGCCCCUUAUGUCCUGGGCUACACACGUACUACAAUGGCGACUACAGAGGGCAGCAAAGCCGUGAGGCAGAGCCAAUCCCCAAAAGUCGUCCCAGUUCGGAUUGCAGGCUGCAACCCGCCUGCAUGAAGUCGGAAUUGCUAGUAAUGGCAGGUCAGCAUACUGCCGUGAAUACGUUCCCGGGCCUUGUACACACCGCCCGUCACACCAUGAGAGCUGACAACACCCGAAGUCGGUGGUCUAACCGCAAGGAGGACGCCGCCGAAGGUGGGGUUGGUGAUUGGGGUGAAGUCGAACAAGGUAGCCGUA
rnacentral:rRNA from 1 species